CUCCUCCAGCCAAGGCAAAAGAAUCAGUAACAGCACCACCGGCCACCUGCUUCUAUCACAGCACUGUUUUCCUAUCAGUCAUCCCUACCUUUUAUUGAGCACUUACUUGGCACAGUGCUGUAUACCAGGCAAGGGGCUUCCCUGGUGGCUCAGUGACUAAGAAUCUGCCUGCAGUGCAGGAGACGCAGGUUCCAUCCCUGGGUCGAAAAGAUCCCCUGGAGGAGGGCAUGGCAAUCCACUACAGUCUUCUUGCCUGGAAAAUCCCAUGGACAGAGGAGCCUGGCGGGCUACAGUCCAUGGGGAUCUCAAAGAGUCAGACAAGACUGAAGCAACUUAGGACUCACGCAGGCACAUACCAGAACUACACCUACCCUGAAUAUUCAUUAGAAGGACUGAAAUUGAAGCUCCAAUACUUUGGCCACCUAUGCGAAGACUCAACUCAUUGAAAAAGACCCUAAUGUUGGGAAAAACUGAAGGCAAAAGGAGAAGAGGGCGGCAGAGGAUAAGAUGGUUAGAUAGCAUCACUGACUCAAUGGACAUGAAUGUGAGCAAACUCCAGGAGAUAGUGGAGGACAGGAGCCUGGAGUGCUUCAGUCCAUGGAGUCACAUGGAGCUACUGAACAACAACAACCAACUAUACCUCAAUUAAAACAAACAGCCUUUUCAGGUCAAAACUCUGUUAAUCCUCAUUUAAACUAAAUCCUCAUUUAGUUUAACAAGGAAACUAAGGCACAGAAAGGUUGAGUAACUUGCCCUAGGUCACACAGCUAGCAAGGAAAUCAAACCCAGGACUUCUUCCCCCAGAGCUGCCUUGGAAGUACCCAAAAGGUGUGAUUUUCCCAGCCUGAGCUUCGGAGAUAUCCAGGCAUCCUGGUCAGGACUGAGGAGGUACCAAAAGGAUGGGCUGAUCCUAUGGGAACACUGGGCAUGAAGUCAGUCCCAGGGGCUGGGCCUUCAGCCUCCACCUGCUGCUUCCUACUGGCCCUCGAGAGUGAUCGAGCCACAGCUGCCUAUUGUUGUGGUGGGUUUUGAAGACUCCAGGAACUACCUCCCAUCUGUGAAUAUCUCCCUGCAGCUGAGUGUGUGUGCGUGAGUGUGUGUGCGUAUGUGUGCGUGUGUGUGUGUGUGUGUGUGUGUGUGUGUGAGAUAAGGUACACAAAACAGCACUUCCAGGGUAAUCCAGUGGUUAAGACUCUGCGCUUCCACUGCAGGGCCCAAGGUUUGACCCCUUGUCAGAGAACUGUGAUCCCACAUGCCAUGG
ensembl:lncRNA